UUUCCUUGCAUUUCUUCUUCUUUUCCCUACCAUCUGUUUUAUAGAAGUUUCUACAUCAAAUUAAGCAAGUACAUUAUCCGUUCUUGUCCAAGUUUAUCUUAUUCCUUUCAUCGGAAGUCUGUACAAAUGAGUUUGGACGAAGAGAGUGACAUAAAUUUGCUUGAGAUUUUGAAUUAUUUUCUGCUUUUGGGUUUGCAUGCUAUACUGCUUGAUUAAUGAUUAUUGAGGAAAAUUAGUGGCAAACGUUGGUUGAGAAAGCUCCUGCAUUUACUGUAAUGCACGGUAGUUUAUUGCAAUAUGAUCUGCACGGUAGAAAGCACUCAUAUUUGAUUUGAUUCUGUUCUGUGCUUGCCAAUAGUAAUAACUUGAAAUAUGCUUUUAUCAUGAUUAUAAAGUUUAUUGAUGAUGCUUUGUUUCAGGAUAUGUGUAGAGGCUAUUUGCAAUGUGUUCAAGGCAGAUAGUAGAUUAUAUGGUUAAGCAUCUCACUUAUAUUGGUAAUUUUUAUUUGUUUUAUUUAAAUUAAAAUGGUUUAUGUAUUCUGCUCUAUAGGUGAAUUUGCUCCAAUGAUUCUGCAACCCUCGAGGAGGUGACAUUUCCAUCAAAUGAUUUUACAGUUCGUUUGGUGUCAACAAUGGGUGGCAGUAAACUGCAUUGCUACUAAGUGCGGAGUAAGGACUAAAGCAUUUGUCUUAUUAUACACACAUUACAAAUAUCAAAAUGACCAUGAAGGAUAUAGUUGUUUCCUCAGCUUCUGUCUGCCAAGGACGUGGUGGAUCCAAAGAAGUUUCUGAUGCAGAGUUAGCUUUGGAAGGAACUUCUUCUGCUCACUGUUUACAUGCUGGUGGUACUCUUGGUGUUUUGCCAACUGGAAAGAAGAUAGUUAGCAUGGGCAUUAUUCAUUCAUCAAUGCCAAAACACAAAAGGCUUAGACAACAAAAAAGAAUGCCCGUUUUUCAGUGGUCUAUUGAAGAAAAAUCAAAGGGGACAAAAGAUAAUACUCCCUCCAUUCCGAUUUACUCGUCGUGGUUUUAGUUUAAAUUUGAACUAAAACCACGACGAGUAAAUCGGAACGGACGGAGUAGUAUUUCUAAAGAGAAUUCUCAAUGCGUAGAGCAGUCCUCUCCAUAUUAACACAUAAAGCCCCAUUCCCUCCCAACACUGGCCGGUGGCGGAGCUUGGCAACGGUGGUGAUGUGGAGGCGAUGACCAUCAUGGAAGAGGGAAAUAUGCUGCUAGAUACUGAUGUUGAUUGCAACGACUCCAUGACAUUGUAACGAGGGGAUACCGCAAUGGACAAGGCAGAAAUCUUGUUCAGAGGGACAAUGCCCACGGGUGACUGCGGUGUGAGCUGGUGUUGUCCUGUCAUGGCAAUAGGGACGCAGAGGCAAGGUGGAGGCCAGAGAUGGCAUGGAGAAAAAUUAUGACGAGCAAAGCAGUGACAUUGUACAGUAACACGGUCAUGUGUGUGGCCUCUGCGCAGCAGCGACAGGUAGCCAUCGGAGCAAGGACAACGGCGCACACACAUGUUUAUGAUGCUGCUCGAGGCCACAGGGCCAACCAGGAUUUGUUAUUCCUUCAAAGUGAUAUGAAAACGAAGAUUCUACUUGUAUAACUAAAGUUUGAUCUUCAGUCCUACUCCCUCCGUCUGGAAUUAGUUGAUGCUCAAAUGGAUGUAUCUAGAUGUAUUUCAAUGCUAGGUACAUCCAUUUGAGCGCCAACUAAUUCCGGACGGAGGAAGUACACAACACAUCCUUUUUAGCGGAAUAAAAGGCCACAACUUCACCA